CCUACGGGCGACAGCAGUGAGGAAUAUUGGUCAAUGGACGAGAGUCUGAACCAGCCAAGUAGCGUGAAGGAUGACUGCCCUAUGGGUUGUAAACUUCUUUUAUAUGGGAAUAAAACGUUCCACGUGUGGGAUUUUGUAUGUACCAUAUGAAUAAGGAUCGGCUAACUCCGUGCCAGCAGCCGCGGUAAUACGGAGGAUCCGAGCGUUAUCCGGAUUUAUUGGGUUUAAAGGGAGCGUAGGUGGAUUGUUAAGUCAGUUGUGAAAGUUUGCGGCUCAACCGUAAAAUUGCAGUUGAAACUGGCAGUCUUGAGUACAGUAGAGGUGGGCGGAAUUCGUGGUGUAGCGGUGAAAUGCUUAGAUAUCACGAAGAACUCCGAUUGCGAAGGCAGUUCACUGGACUGCAACUGACACUGAGGCUCGAAAGUGUGGGUAUCAAACAGGAUUAGAUACCCUGGUAGUC
rnacentral:rRNA from 1 species